CCUACGGGCGGCAGCAGUGGGUGAUAUUGGACAAUGGGGGAAACCCUGAUCCAGCGACGCCGCGUGAGUGAAGAAGUAUUUCGGUAUGUAAAGCUCUAUCAGCAGGGAAGAAAGAAAUGACGGUACCUGAGUAAGAAGCCCCGGCUAACUACGUGCCAGCAGCCGCGGUAAUACGUAGGGGGCAAGCGUUAUCCGGAAUUACUGGGUGUAAAGGGAGCGUAGACGGUAAUGCAAGUCUGGAGUGAAAGGCGGGGGCGCAACCCCCGGACUGCUCUGGAAACUGUGUAACUGGAGUGCAGGAGAGGCAGGCGGAAUUCCUAGUGUAGCGGUGAAAUGCGUAGAUAUUAGGAGGAACACCAGUGGAGAAGGCGGCCUGCUGGACUGUAACUGACGUUGAGGCUCGAAAGCGUGGGGAGCAAACAGGAUUAGAUACCCGGGUAGUC
rnacentral:rRNA from 1 species